rnacentral:rRNA from 1 species
UACGAAGGGGGCGAGCGUUGUUCGGAAUUACUGGGCGUAAAGGGCGCGUAGGCGGCCGAUCAAGUCAGAUGUGAAAGUCCUGGGCUUAACCUGGGGACUGCAUUUGAUACUGAUUGGCUUGAAUGCAGGAGAGGAUAGCGGAAUUCCCAGUGUAGAGGUGAAAUUCGUAGAUAUUGGGAAGAACACCGGUGGCGAAGGCGGCUCACUGGCUCGUAUCUGACGCUCAGGCGCGACAGCGUGGGGAUCGAAACAGG